rnacentral:lncRNA from 10 species
UGUAGACCGGAGCUGUUCCUAUUCGGCCAUCUUGGCUCCUAAAUCUGACAUCCUAAGGAACAUUAUCUUUUGAGGGCACAAUCUUUCACUUGCAUCCUCUAUGGUAAUGCACCUAAAUCUGGAUCCAAGGCCCUCAAGGAAUUGGAAGAUGCAUACUUCGAGUGACUUUCUUCACUCAAUCCACUCAAGUGCUGAUCUCAUCCAGUAACAUCCUCAUUGACACACCCCAAAAUAAUGUUUUACCAGCUAUCUGGGCAUCCAUUAGCCCAGUCAGGAUGACACAUACAAUUAACCAUGGCAUGCAUCCGUGCACAUAUGUUGGUGUAGAUGAGUGGUUAGGAAACAAAAGUGUUGAAAAAUUUAUAUUGUGGAUAUUCUCUUACAUUUAGCACUAUUUUAUCUAAAAUGUUUGGAUAAUCAAUUGACUAAAAAAGAUAAAACUGGGAAAAAAUAAAUGAGCAUAUAAGAGAAAACAAUAAUGAAUCAAUUAUAUGUGAGUUUUUCAGAUGUCUCCCCUCAUCUUUCAUUUCCUUUUCAAAUGAAUAAAUUAAAAGCUUCCAAAAUAGCAGUCGAAUAAUUUUAGGUGUAAAUAAACUUGGAAGAUUUCUGCAGUUCCAUACAAUUGUUUUACUAAUACGUUAAAGGAUUCACAGUGAAAUAAUUAAGACUAAAUAACAAGGAUAAAAUUUUACCUUAAAGAACAUAUUUUUGGCCCAAGUACGAUGGGCCACAGCUCUUUACAAAUUAGAAUUUAAGAGUUAAAGUGCUAAAUUUUGU